AGAUUGAACGCUGGCGGCGUGCCUAACACAUGCAAGUCGAGCGGUAACAGGUGUAGCAAUACAUGCUGACGAGCGGCGGACGGGUGAGUAACGCUUGGGAAUCUGCCUAUCAGGUGGGGGACCGAACCCGGGGAACUCGGGCUAAUACCGCAUACGAUCUAAGGAUAGAAAGGCCGGGGACCGACAAGGCCUGGCGCUGAUAGAUGAGCCCAAGUCGGAUUAGCUAGGUUGGUAGGGUAACGGCCUACAAGGCGACGAUCCGUAACUGGUCUGAGAGGACGACCAGUCACACCGGAACUGAGACACGGUCCGGACUCCGUACGGGAGGCAGCAGGUGGGGGAAUAUUGGACAAGUGGGGGCAACCCGUGAUCCAGCGACGCCGCGGUGGUGAAGAAGGCCUGGCGGGUU
rnacentral:rRNA from 1 species